AAGACUCUACCACCUACUAGCUGGGUGGCCUUGAACAAGGUGGAGCCUCAGUUCCAUCUGUAAACUGGGGAUUAAGCUUGCUGAGGUUAGUAGGCCUAGUGCAGAGGCCAGUGUUCCUUCCUGGGCUUUUCUCAGUUUCUCCUGUCCUGAGCUGCCCUCGCCUGUCCGCUUAGCUCAGAGGACAUGGUGAGAUUAUUGCCUAACUUAUCUGCCACAAGUUUAAGGAGCAACACUGUGUAAAGAAAUGAAGUCAAUGGGGAAAGGUGGAGUCCCAGCUUUAGUGUAAUUAUCUUUGAUGGCACAAAUGGAGAGAUAGUUGCUAGUCCCCUAAAGGAAUAUGUAGGCAGUUUUGCAACUUUGUAAUGGAGACUUUUUCUUCAUAUUGGAGCUUAAACCGUUUGGUUUUUCUAAAUGUGAAAUAUACGUAUUGGAUAUUUUGGAGUAUUUUGUACAUUAAAACACCUGGGGGGAAUCUAACAUUAUUUGGAGC
rnacentral:lncRNA from 10 species